GAUCCAGCAGUGGUCCCCGAGCCACAAGAGGCUGCUCUGCAAGGGGAAGGAGAACAAGCAGAACCAGUUUGUGCUCAGCAGGAGGUCCAGGAGGAAAAGAGGACCCACGUCAGGUAUCUCAUGGGAUCAAAUCCCCAAGGAGCUCCUUCUCAGGAUCUUCCUCUACCUCCCUCUGAAGGAUCUCCUCCGGAUGUCCAGAGUCUGCAAGCGCUGGCCUCGCUUAGCGGCCGAGCUCUGGGCCCCCCUUCGACCCUGGGCCCGGGACAACUGACCCGGUUGACCCCCCUAUCAGCGGGCUUUCA